rnacentral:rRNA from 1 species
UACGCAGGGCGCAAGCGUUAUCCGGAAUUAUUGGGCGUAAAGAGCUCGUAGGCGGUUCUCCAAGUCCGUUGUGAAAGCCCCGGGCUCAACCUGGGAAUGGCAGUGGAAACUAGGGGACUGGAAUCUGGCAGAGGGGGGUGGAAUGCCGCGUGUAGCAGUGAAAUGCGUAGAGAUGCGGCGGAACACCGAUGGCGAAGGCGGCUUGCCAGAAUGCGCUCGACGGUGAGGGAUGAAAGCUGGGGGAGCAAACCGG